rnacentral:rRNA from 1 species
UACGAAGGUCCCAAGCGUUAUCCGGAUUUAUUGGGUUUAAAGGGUGCGUAGGCGGGCUAUUAAGUCAGUGGUGAAAGCCCCAAGCUUAACUUGGGAACUGCCAUUGAUACUGAUGGUCUUGAGUACAUUUGAGGUGGGCGGAAUGUGUCAUGUAGCGGUGAAAUGCUUAGAUAUGACACAGAGCACCGAUUGCGAAGGCAGCUCACUAAACUGUAACUGACGCUGAGGCACGAAAGCGUGGGGAGCAAACAGG